rnacentral:lncRNA from 1 species
AGAGCAGCUCUGAGGAAGUCUCGGCCGGGCUGACGGGAGCCCCAGAGUGAGGGCUGCCCUUCCAGGAGUCCUGCGUCUGUGGUUCAGAGCAGAAUUCCAACAUGGAUUUAUAUGCAGACAUUUGUCUUCUCAGUAGCUUCAUGAGCAAUGAAAAAUGAAUACGACUCUUUCUCCUUCUGUUUCAAAUCCCCUACUCCAUCUAAAUCCACUGAAGGCAGCCAUGCAUCAUCACUACCCAGAGUUGCUGGCUGUGGUUGUGCAGGUUUCUCGUUGCUCAGGCGUGAGAGCGUGUGAACAACUGUUUCUGUAGGAUCUGUUUCCAGAAAUGGGAGUGCUGGAUUAAAGGGUGUGCACAUUUGAAAUGUUGACAGGUGUUGCCAAGAGCCUUCUCAAGAGGUGAUGUCUGUUUACUCAUCCACCUGCAGGGUGACAGUUCCAGAGAGGAAACAGAAGAACACAAAGUCUCUUGAGGUAUACACUUGGAAUUGGCACGCCAUCACUCCUGCUACCUUCUAUUGGCCAAAACAAGUCACACGGCCAGCCUAGAUUUAAGGGCAGGGGAAGCAGACCCCGCCUCUUGAUGAGAGGAGCUGCAAAGUCAUGUUGCAAAGGCAUGGACACCAGGAGGGCGUUAACUGAGACCACGAAUGCAAUUAAUCCACCACUCCGGGAGAUGAUCAAAUCUGGCUGUUAAAAAAACCUUGGCAUUAAGAUGCCGUUCUGAUUAUUUCUGAGCUACCAGCCACGAAUCAUUUAUUUUCAUGAUUAGUAGAUUAACAAGGUAGUGGGUGGUUGUGUCUGACUUUGAAAAGUGGACAUGGAAGCAACUGGCAGAGUCCCAUUCCUACUCUGACUCUUUAUGUUAGUUAGGAUGCAGAUUUGGAUGCUAUAAAAAAGAAACCUACAAUGAAUCAAUGUUUCUUUCUUUCUCAAUAAAAGUCUGGGAAUA